rnacentral:rRNA from 1 species
CGCCAGACUCCUACGGGAGGCAGCAGUGGGGAAUAUUGCACAAUGGGGGAAACCCUGAUGCUGCGACGCCGCGUGAGUGAAGAAGUAAUUCGUUAUGUAAAGCUCUAUCAGCAGGGAAGAAAAUGACGGUACCUGACUAAGAAGCCCCGGCUAACUACGUGCCAGCAGCCGCGGUAAUACGUAGGGGGCAAGCGUUAUCCGGAUUUACUGGGUGUAAAGGGAGCGUAGGCGGCGAUGCAAGUCAGAAGUGAAAGCCCGGGGCUCAACUCCGGGACUGCUUUUGAAACUGUGUUGCUAGAUUGCAGGAGAGGUAAGUGGAAUUCCUAGUGUAGCGGUGAAAUGCGUAGAUAUUAGGAGGAACACCAGUGGCGAAGGCGGCCUGCUGGACGACAACUGACGUUGAGGCUCGAAAGCGUGGGGAGCAAACAGGAUUAGAUACCCCUGUAGCA